rnacentral:tRNA from 1 species
GACCAGUUAGCUCAGUCAGUUGAGCAUGGUGCUGAUAACACCAAGGUCACGGGUUCGAUCCCCGCUCGGUUCC